rnacentral:lncRNA from 1 species
GUUGUUGUCUCUUUGGUUUCACACAGGUUGUCAUCAUCAAAAAGGGGGAGUAUGUAAGGGCAAACUGUCAUACAACAUACGAUCAUAGGUUUCGAUGAUGACAAAUGACCACCAUGGAUGAAUCGGCAUUAUCGAACAUACGAUCAUAGGUUUCGAUGAUGACAAAUGACCACCAUGGAUGAAUCGGCAUUAUCGAUUCCACCUCUACAAAACAAAUGCAACAUAUCACCUAUCAUAUCCUUUUCUAUGCUCAUCUAAAC